GUGGGGAAUCUUCCGCAAUGGACGAAAGUCUGACGGAGCAACGCCGCGUGAGUGAAGAAGGUUUUCGGAUCGUAAAGCUCUUUCGUUAGGGACGAACGUGCUCUUUGUGAAUAAUGAGGAGUAAUGACGGUACCUAAAUAAGAAGCCACGGCUAACUACGUGCCAGCAGCCGCGGUAAUACGUAGGUGGCAAGCGUUGUCCGGAAUUAUUGGGCGUAAAGCGCGAGCAGGCGGGAUAUCAAGUCUGUCUUAAAAGUGCGAGGCUCAACCUCGUGAGGGGACAGAAACUGGUAUUCUUGAGUGUCGGAGAGGAAAGUGGAAUUCCAAGUGUAGCGGUGAAAUGCGUAGAGAUUUGGAAGAACACCAGUGGCGAAGGCGACUUUCUGGACGAUGUCUGACGCUGAGGCGCGAAAGCUAGGGGAGCGAACGGGAUUAGAAACCCGGGUAGUCC
rnacentral:rRNA from 1 species